rnacentral:rRNA from 1 species
GACGUAGGGGGCAAGCGUUGUCCGGAAUCAUUGGGCGUAAAGCGCUCGUAGGUGGAUCGGUAAGUCUGCAAAGAAAGACCCGGGCUCAACUCGGGGAACGGUGUGGAUACUACCGAUCUUGAGGCAAUCAGAGGAUGAUGGAAUUCCCGGUGUAGCGGUGAAAUGCGUAGAUAUCGGGAGGAGCACCAGUGGCGAAGGCGAUCAUCUGGGGUUGUUCUGACACUGAGGAGCGAAAGCUAGGGGAGCAAACGGG